UACGGAGGGUGCAAGCGUUAUCCGGAUUCACUGGGUUUAAAGGGAGCGUAGGUGGUCUUAUAAGUCAGUGGUGAAAUCUCGCAGCUUAACUGCGAAACUGCCAUUGAUACUGUAGGACUUGAGUAUAGUUGCUGUGGGCGGAAUAUGACAUGUAGUGGUGAGAUACUUAGAGAUGUCAUAGAACACCGAUUGCGAAGGCAGCUCACAAAACUAUAACUGACACUGAGGCUCGAAAGUGCGGGGAUCAAACAGG
rnacentral:rRNA from 1 species